rnacentral:rRNA from 1 species
UUGGAGGGCAAGUCUGGUGCCAGCAGCCGCGGUAAUUCCAGCUCCAAUAGCGUAUAUUAAAGUUGUUGCAGUUAAAAAGCUCGUAGUUGAAUUUCGGGGUUAGUAGGUUGGUCAUGCCACUGGUAUGUACUGGUCUCACUGAUUCCUCCUCCCUGAUGAGACGUAAUGCCAUUAAUUUGGUGUUGCGAGGAAUCUGGACUGUUACUUUGAAAAAAUUAGGGUGUUUAAAGCAGGCUAACGCUUGAAUACAUUAGCAUGGAAUAAUGAAAUAGGACGUUUGAUCUUAUUUUGUUGGUUUCUAGGAUUGACGUAAUGAUUAAUAGGGAUAGUUGGGGGCAUUAGUAUUCAAUUGUCAGAGGUGAAAUUCUUGGAUUUAUUGAAGACUAACUACUGCGAAAGCAUUUGCCAAGGAUGUUUUCAUUAAUCAAGAACGAAAGUUAGGGGAUCGAAGACGAUCAGAUACCGUCGUAGUCUUAACCAUAAACUAUGCCGACUAGGGAUCGGAUGAUGUUAAUUUUUUAAUGACUCAUUCGGCGCCUUACGGGAAACCAAAGUGUUUGGGUUC